rnacentral:rRNA from 1 species
UACGGAGGGUGCAAGCGUUGUCCGGAAUCACUGGGCGUAAAGGGCGCGUAGGCGGCUCAUGAAGGCUGUGGUGAAAGUCCGGGGCUCAACCUCGGAUCGGCCGUGGCGACUCGUGGGCUGGAGCACUGUAGAGGCGGGUGGAAUUCCGGGUGUAGCGGUGGAAUGCGUAGAUAUCAGGAGGAACACCGGUGGCGAAGGCGGGUCUCUGGGCCGAUACUGACACUGAGGAGCGAAAGCGUGGGGAGCGAACAGG